ACCUGGCUGGCUCAGUCAGAGGAGUUUGUGACUCCUAAUCUCAAGGUCAUGAGUUCGAGCCUCAUGUUGGGUG
rnacentral:tRNA from 1 species